rnacentral:lncRNA from 1 species
UAGGAUCUAUUUUCCCGUUACAAUAUGAAAUCAUGAAAACAGAAUAACCAAAAUCACAAUCAUAAACUCAAUUCAGUAGAAAAUAAUUUGCCAGAGAGAGAGAGACGCUUACUUCUUGAAACUUAGCAGCAAUGAGGCUCUGAUUUUCAAAAAACUCAUCAGAGUGAUCAAUAGGCAUUUGGAAGGAACUUGUCAUGUGGUAUUAUGUUAUCUUCUUCCUUCACAAUCCUUCAGGUGAUACGAUGGGAUGGAAAAUGGAUGAAUGAAUGAAUUUACGAGAGAGAGAGAGAGAGAGAGAGAGAGAGAGAGAGAGAGAUUGCAGGAUAAACUAGGGUUGCAUCAGCCCCAACUAUUUUGCCACUAAUAGUGUCGACAUG